GUAUUGCUGAAGAGUCUCACAAUAGGACGAAAUGACUGUCCAGUAU
rnacentral:hammerhead_ribozyme from 1 species